ensembl:lncRNA
AGCUCUGUUAUAAAUGAGUGGAAACUGCAUUUUGUAACUAAACUGAGUUAGUGAACCAGUUCUGUGUGAAUGAAAAUGAUCCAAAACUUGUGUUUCGAUUAGAGUUCAUCCAUCAAAUCUUAAUGGUUUAUUAAAUAACUUAGUGUUUAUUAAAUAACUAACUGUAAUUAGACUUUCCUAUGGUCAUUUUUCAAGUGCACUUCUAUGAUUGCAGGUAGUUUUCACAUCCACUUAGAGAACAGAAAAUAUUUGAAAUAAGUUAUUCAUUCACACGCACAGUAUUUGUGCUGUUCCUUCUAUACUAAAUAAUAAAAUAAAAAAUAAUCUAAAUAAUAAUAUCAAUAAAUAAUAUAACAAUAUAACAAUACAAACACACACACAUUGAAUUAUUUCAAACUGAAAAUAUGUCUGUGCUCGUUUUGUUUCUGUUUUAUUUUUGCUGUAUGGGCUGUAAAUUGUUGUGAACAGGAUGAUUCAGGAGUCACACUUGUUAAUAAACGCGGUUGUCAGUGGCACACACUGACAUAGCAUGUGUCGAUCUGCCCAUUUUGAGUAGUGUGCAACGCGCCUCUUUCAUUGCCUGCGAGUGAGAGCGAGCACAUGCGCCUUGUGACUGACGCACUCCGCUGACAUCAUUCCACAUCUCACCAUCUGAGCCACACAGAUGACUCCGAGAAGAGAGAGGGACAGGAAAACACGUGCUUUCUGAGCUCUUUAUUUCGCUCUGGUUGUUUGGACUGGAAGGUCACCCUGCCAGGUAACCCAAUCCUGUCCUGCGUCACACCGCUCUCAGUCUGGCCCAGUGACGUCUCGCGCACACCAUUGGUUGCCUGGCGUCGCAGGCUCGUUUUCACCAAGUGAAUGGAGAUUGCUUAUGACGACAGAUGACGGCAGGUGACCAGCAGCCAACCGCUCUGGGUCAUAAGCCAGAGGGUAAAUGCUCAAUUACUGAGAGAGACUGAGAGAAUGAUGUCGGAAAGAGAGAGGGUAACAGAUAAAAGCAGAGAGGCAGAUAUGAGGACAGACAGAGGCAGUGAAUGAUGGCAGG